rnacentral:sRNA from 1 species
CUGCUUCCAAAGCUUCAGGCUCAGUCUAAGAGGACAACCUUCCCCAAUAGAGGAGGACUGUCCUUCAGUCAAGGGUAUAUGAGUAGCUGUGCUCACACAAACAAACUCUCAGAUUGACAUGCCUAUAGGUGAUC